rnacentral:tRNA from 1 species
GCUUCGGUAGUGUAACGGAUUAGCACGACAGACCGGAUAUCUGUAAGUGCAGGUUCGAGUCCAGCUUAGAGUU